AAGUAAAGAUAAAAACGCAACGCAUGUAAUAAUAUGUCAGAGCCGGUUGGUAGCCCGGCCGUCCUGUAUAAUACAGGGUAAGUAACCUGCCCCUCCGGGUUGUCCGUUCUUUACACAUUU
rnacentral:ncRNA from 1 species